CCUACGGGUGGCAGCAGUGGGGAAUAUUGGGCAAUGGACGCAAGUCUGACCCAGCAACGCCGCGUGAAGGAAGAAGGCUUUCGGGUUGUAAACUUCUUUUGACAGGGAAGAGUAGAAGACGGUACCUGUCGAAUAAGCCACGGCUAACUACGUGCCAGCAGCCGCGGUAAUACGUAGGUGGCAAGCGUUGUCCGGAUUUACUGGGUGUAAAGGGCGUGUAGCCGGGGUGACAAGUCAGAUGUGAAAUCCUGGGGCUUAACCGCAGAACUGCAUUUGAAACUGUUUAUCUUGAGUACUGGAGAGGCAGACGGAAUUCCUAGUGUAGCGGUGAAAUGCGUAGAUAUUAGGAAGAACACCAGUGGCGAAGGCAGUCUGCUGGACAGCAACUGACGGUGAGGCGCGAAAGCGUGGGGAGCAAACAGGAUUAGAUACCCUAGUAGUC
rnacentral:rRNA from 1 species